ensembl:lncRNA
GUAAUUCAAAGGAAUGGGUGAUUGAGAUGGUGCGUUGCGUGAGCGCAAUUCUUCGCAACUAAAUUACAUUUAGGAUUACAGCACCGGAUUGCCAGUUGCUAUUUAGCACGCUGGCAAAAUGAUCGUUUUGCUCUUUUCAUCUCCAAAAGGAAUAUAAAGGAAUGAAAGGAGAAAGUUUACUGGGGUUGUCAGAGGAGGAACGGGGGGCUGGGGGUGCCGUGGGGCAGAUAAUUAUCCCCUGCAGCACGCCAUCAGAAGGUUACGCCGUUUGCAGUAGAGAGGGAGGCGGCGUGGCACAAUUAGGCUCUUUAGAUAUUAUUUUCUAUACGUCCCAAGCUCUUACAUUUGCACAGUAGCUGUUUUCCCUAUCUAAACAGGACAAAAGGGCAGCUGCUGAACCAUUUGGCUGUGCCGAGGGGUAGUGGGCUCGACGUGCUGGAGCUCUGCGCACGACCAGCUUGAGUUUGCACCCGCAGCUACAGGACACAACUUUAUGGAGAGGCUCUGCCAAGCUGCACGGCGCCGCCCCGAGAAUGGCCAGAGCAUGGCCCGUGGUGAAACACGAGCCCAGGGAUCUGCACAGGAACACCACCGGCACUGGCACUGCUGUUGGGCUUGGGGCUGCUUUUUAAAAGAGGUUUGCAAAGUGAUGAUGUUUUACUGCCUUGACUCGAGGUGCUGCUGUUGGCUACCAAAGGUAACGCACUACGAGCAAAAACGACCUGUAUAAUUAGACAUUUAUAAACAGAAGCACACUAAUACCUCGUAAAUUGAUUGUUAACCACGUUUAAUGCUCUUAAAUUGGCCAUUAAGUGCAGAAUAAUUUCUGGGAUAUUAUUGAUAUUAUGAAGCAUUAAAGAGGUU